AGAGUUUGAUCCUGGCUCAGAACGAACGCUGGCGGCAGGCUUAACACAUGCAAGUUGAGCGGGAUUGAUUAGUAGCUUGCUAUUGAUUAUGAGAGCAGCGCACUGGUGAGUAACACGUGGGAAUAUACCUAUUGGUGGGGGACAACAAUUGGAAACGAUUGCUAAUACCGCAUAAGCCCUGAGGGGGAAAGAUUUAUUGCCGAUAGAUUAGCCCGCGGAAGAUUAGGUAGUUGGUGGGGUAACGGCCUACCAAGCCGACGAUCUAUAGCUGGUCUGAGAGGACGAUCAGCCACAUUGGAACUGAGACACGGUCCAGACUCCUACGGGAGGCAGCAGUGAGGAAUAUUGGGCAAUGGAGGCAACUCUGACCCAGCCAUGCCGCGUGAGUGAAGAAGGUUUUCGGAUUGUAAAGCUCUUUCGGACAGGAAGAUAAUGACGGUACUGUCUAAAGAAGCCCCGGCUAACUUCGUGCCAGCAGCCGCGGUAAUACGAAGGGGGCGAGCGUUGUUCGGAAUUACUGGGCGUAAAGGGUGUGUAGGCGGCUUUGUAAGAUAGCGGUGAAAUACCUGGGCUUAACCUGGGAACUGCCGUUAUUACUAUAGAGCUAGAGUGAUAGAGAGGAUAUUGGAAUACCCAGUGUAGAGGUGAAAUUCGUAGAUAUUGGGUAGAACACCGGUGGCGAAGGCGAGUAUCUGGCUAUUAACUGACGCUGAGGCACGAAAGCGUGGGGAUCAAACAGGAUUAGAUACCCUGGUAGUCCACACAGUAAACGAUGAUAACUCGCUGUCGGCGAUAUAAUGUCGGUAGUCAAGAGAAAUCGAUAAGUUAUCCACCUGGGGAGUACGACCGCAAGGUUGAAACUCAAAGGAAUUGACGGGGACCCGCACAAGCAGUGGAUUAUGUGGUUUAAUUCGAAGCAACGCGAAGAACCUUA
rnacentral:rRNA from 1 species